rnacentral:lncRNA from 1 species
AUGGACACUGUUCAGCAACUGGAAGAAAGAGGGCACCUGAUGGACAGCAAAGGCUUUGAUGAAUAAUAAAUACAUGAAGGAACUAGGAGUGGGACUAGCCCUCUGCGAAAAAAAGGGUGCUAUGGCCAAAAAAGAUUGUAUUAGCUUUUUUGAUGGCAAAAACCUCACCAUAAAAAUGGAGAGUACUUUAAAAUCAUACAGUUUUCUCACACUCAGGGGAGGGAAAUUCAAAGAAACUACAGGUGACGGCAGAAAAACUCAGACUGCACCUUUACAUAUGGCACAUUGGUUCGACAUCAGAAGUGGAAUGGAAAGGAAGGCAAAAUAAGAAAAUUGAAAGACAGGAAAUUAGUGGUGGACUGCAUCAUAAACAAUGUCACCUGUACUCAGAUCUAUGAAAAAGUAGAAU